rnacentral:rRNA from 1 species
CGCCUGUUUAACAAAAACAUGUCUUUUUGAAUUAUUUAAAAAGUCUAACCUGCCCACUGAAUUAUUUUAAAUGGCCGCAGUAUCCUAACUGUGCAAAGGUAGCAUAAUCAUUAGUCUUUUAAUUGAAGGCUGGUAUGAAUGGUUGGACGAGAUAUUAACUGUUUCAUAAAAAUUUAUAAUAGAAUUUUAUUUUUUAGUCAAAAAGCUAAAAUAAAUUUAAAAGACGAGAUGACCCUAUAAAUCUUUAUAUUUAGAUAAUUACAAUUUUGUGGAUUUUUUUUGUUGUGAUUGUUGAUAAUAUUUUAUUGGGGUGAUAUUAAAAUUUAAAAAACUUUUAAUUAGUUAAAUCAUUAAUUUAUGAAUAAUUGAUCCGUUAUUAACGAUUAAAAAUUUAAGUUACUUUAGGGAUAACAGCGUAAUUUUUUUGGAGAGUUCAUAUCGAUAAAAAAGAUUGCGACCUCGAUGAUGGAUUAAGAGAUAUAUUUUGGUGUAGUCGCUAAAAUGUUAAGUCUGUUCGACUUUUAAAUUCUUACGUGAUCUGAGUUCAGACCGG